AUGUAUAUGUAUAUGUAUAUAUCCAACCUUGGAAAUCAUUCUUCCAUAAUUUCUGAAAGCAGGAGAGUGGUCCAACAACAGUUUGAUCAUGAAAACUGUACUUGUUCUCUGCGUUACCUUGGGGUUGAUCUUGCUAACUCUGGGAAAGCCGAUGCAGGAAGGGCAUGAAGCCAAACAGCUCUUAAGUGAUACGAAUCUCAAUAAGAAGGCUACCUUUGGCGCUUAUGAUGCUAAAAGCAGUAUUGCUGGAAACAUGGAAGUAGCCAGCAGUGAUGGUGAGAGCACCGGUGAAACUGGACAACAGGGUACCGAUGACUCUCACCGAUAUUUCCCGGAUAUUGCUCACCCAAGGGUGAAAGACCCUGAACGCCAUGGUUAAGUGUACAAGGGGAUGGAGCUUAUGAAAUGAAUAAAUGAAGUAUUAGCUAUAAUAAUGUGGAACCAACAUGUAAGUAUAGCCAAAAAAGUUAAAGGCUGUGCAAUGAUACAUGUUUGGUAUCACAAAGUUGCAUGAAGUAUCAGUUCUAUCAUCUAUGCUAUAUAUGUUCACCUUCUGGUGUAGAAGAUUUCGACUAGUUUGUCAACUCUACUUUGACUAUCAUGUUAAAUAAAAACCAGGGUUACCAUGGA